AGUGAACGCUGGCGGUAGGCCUAACACAUGCAAGUCGAACGGCAGCACAGUAAGAGCUUGCUCUUACGGGUGGCGAGUGGCGGACGGGUGAGGAAUACAUCGGAAUCUACUUUUUCGUGGGGGAUAACGUAGGGAAACUUACGCUAAUACCGCAUACUACCUACGGUUGAAAGCAGGGGAUCUUCGGACCUUUCGCGAUUGAAUGAGCCGAUGUCGGAUUAGCUAGUUGGCGGGGUAAAGGCCCACCAAGGCGACGAUCCGUAGCUGGUCUGAGAGGAUGAUCAGCCACACUGGAACUGAGACACGGUCCAGACUCCUACGGGAGGCAGCAGUGGGGAAUAUUGGACAAUGGGCGCAAGCCUGAUCCAGCCAUACCGCGUGGGUGAAGAAGGCCUUCGGGUUGUAAAGCCCUUUUGUUGGGAAAGAAAAGCAGCAGGUUAAUAACCCGCUGUUCUGACGGUACCCAAAGAAUAAGCACCGGCUAACUUCGUG
rnacentral:rRNA from 1 species